rnacentral:rRNA from 1 species
GUGAGAACGCUCCCUUCGGGGAGCUAGUAAAGCGGCGCACGGGUGAGUAACACGUGGGUAAUCUGCCCUUGAGUUCGGGAUAACCCGGGGAAACCCGGGCUAAUACCGAAUGCGCCCCAGGGGUCUUCGGCCUCCUGGGAGAAAGAUGGCCUCUGCUUGCAAGCUAUCGCUCAUGGAUGAGCCCGCGUCCCAUUAGCUUGUUGGUGAGGUAACGGCUCACCAAGGCUCAGAUGGGUAGCUGAUCUGAGAGGAUGAUCAGCCACACUGGAACUGAGACACGGUCCAGACUCCUACGGGAGGCAGCAGUGGGGAAUUUUGGGCAAUGGGCGAAAGCCUGACCCAGCAACGCCGCGUGAGGGAUGAAGGUCUUCGGAUCGUAAACCUCUGUCAGGAGGGAAGAGCAGUCACAUGGCCAAUACCCAUGGGACCCGACGGUACCUCCAAAGGAAGCGCCGGCUAACUCCGUGCCAGCAGCCGCGGUAAUACGGAGGGCGCAAGCGUUGUUCGGAAUUACUGGGCGUAAAGCGCGUGUAGGCGGUUUGGAAAGUCGGGUGUGAAAUCCCCGGGCCUAACCCGGGAACUGCAUCCGAAACUUCCUAACUGGAGUCCCGGAGAGGAAGGCAGAAUUCCCAGUGUAGGGGUGAAAUCCGUAGAUAUUGGGAGGAAUACCAGUGGCGAAGGCGGCCUUCUGGACGGUGACUGACGCUGAGACGCGAAAGCGUGGGGAGCAAACAGGAUUAGAUACCUG